rnacentral:rRNA from 1 species
UACGGAGGGUGCAAGCGUUGUCCGGAUUUAUUGGGUUUAAAGGGUGCGUAGGCGGCCCUGUAAGUCAGUGGUGAAAUGCUGCAGCUUAACUGUAGCAUUGCCAUUGAUACUGCAGGGCUUGAGUACAGAUGAGGUAGGCGGAAUUGAUGGUGUAGCGGUGAAAUUCGUAGAUAUCGGGAGGAACACCAGUGGCGAAGGCGGCUCACUGGCCCGAUACUGACGCUGAGGCACGAAAGCGUGGGGAGCAAACAGG